AUGAGUUUGAAACUCAGUGAUGAGCCAGAUGUGUUUGAUCCGAAGGUGUGCGAAAAAGAAUUUAAGAAUGCUUGCUUACAAAAUCACAUUUCAAAAUCUGACCUGCUAUUCUUCAAGGUUGUACACAAAAAGCACUGGGCAAUAGUAGUUGCUAACAUCACCCAAAAGGAGUUCAAUAUCUUUGACUCCAUCAGGAACUCGGAAGACCUUUUUGAGAUGGACAGGAUCACUAAGAAUGUGGUCGCAAACAUCAAGAGUGUUGCAAUGAGGGAGCCACUUUUUAAGCACAAUCUCGAGUCUUACUCGCUAUUCACCCCACUUGAUUACCCUCAACAAAAAACUUACUAUAACUGUGGCUACUAUAGUAUUUUAUACGUGGAGAAUUGGGAUGGCCUUGUUAUGCUGUCAUUUGGCGAGGAUUACAUCCCAAACCUUCGGAAACACAUUGCAGUAGAUCUGUUGAGACACCCAAGCAACAAGUUGGACCCCGCGCAUCAGUUGAAGUUGCUUCUUUAG
rnacentral:rRNA from 1 species